GACGAACGCUGACGGCGUGCUUUAGACAUGCAAGUCGAACGUGAAAGCCCUUCGGGGUGAGUAGAGUGGCGAACGGGUGAGUAACACGUGGGUAACCUGCCCCUCGCAGGGGGGAGUAAACCGGGGGAAACCCCGGCUAAUAGCCCGUACGCUCGUUGGGCCGCAUGGCCCUUCGAGGAGAGGUAGCUUCGGCCAUCCGGCGAGGGAUGGGCCCGCGGUACAUUAGCUAGUUGGUGGGGUAACGGCUCACCAAGGCAACGANGUAUAGCUGGUCUGAGAGGAUGAUCAGCCACACUGGGACUGAGACACGGCCCAGACUCCUACGGGAGGCAGCAGUCGGGAAUCUUGCGCAAUGGGCGAAAGCCUGACGCAGCAACGCCGUGUGGGUGAUGAAGG
rnacentral:rRNA from 1 species